rnacentral:lncRNA from 1 species
CAACCUUUACUACUUGUGAAUAUAAGUUCAUAACGAUUAGGUGAAAUUCACUUAUAUUCUAGCAUCAAAUUCAUGCAUGUAAAUUAAGCGUGCACUCUCAACCAACAUACACAAAUCAGUUUUUAUACGAACGGAUAAGUAAAUUGAAUUCACAACUUAUGAAAUCACAACCGAAGGUAAUCAAUUCAUAUUACAAAUAUAUUCAUGGUUUCGAAUUAACCUCUAACCAACAUAAAUUUAAUUACACAUUAUUAAAAACAGAAAUAAAAUAGAAGUUUGGAAAGAUUUAACCGAGAGAAAUGGAGUGAAGCCUCUAAUUUUCUUCUCACUGUGCCCGUCAGUCUCCCUUCUCCCCGUGUCUAUCUCCUCUCCUGCCUCUGCGAGCUGACCUCCUGACCUCUCUCCCUCCCCACGUCUGCGAGCUUCACGCUUCCCUUCUCUCCGUAGCUUCACGCUGCCCAAAGGGCAGCCCUCUGCCUUCCACCACUUCACGUUUUCUGCCUUUGUCCCUUUUUAUUCCUUUUUCUGCUAUCCUUCCCGCGUCAGUGCUCUCUGCUGCCCAGGGCAGCUCCUCCACCUUCCCGUGUUUUAUCCAGCUCUGCCUCUUAUUUUUAUUUUCUUAUUCUUCUUUCUCUCUGCACUGUUGUCCACUUCCUCUUCUUUUCUUCUUUUAAUCUUUUUGUCUCUCCAGCUGCCAAGCAGCUGUUUUCAUUCUCUUUCACCUGCUUUCAUUACCCGUGCUGACCAAUCCUCUCUACAGCUCCUUUUCUAACAUGCCUUGGAUUCUCCUUGUUCCGUAGCUGUCCCUUUAUUUCUGCUUAAUCCCACGUUUUCCACCUUGGAUCCUUCUUUCCUUUAGCUUAUUUGUUUCUCUUUUUCUUUCCUGUUUUCACUUCAUAUUUUUAUUCCAUCCCAUCUGCUGACCAGCUGCAAAGCAGCUUUCACGCCUAGCUUUGGACCUGCCACUUAUUCCCUUUGCAGUCUGUCCGUCCCACGUUUUUCUAUUUAAUUUCUCAGUGCUUUCCACUUUCUUCUCCUACAAACACAAUAAAUCAAAAUAAACCAAAAUAAAACCCAAUCCAAAAAUAAAACCAAUAUUCUUUCUGUUUAUUAUUUAAAACUCAUUUGUGCUAUUUUUAUUUUCUUUGCAUAACAAAUCCUAAAAACAUAAAAAUAACGUAAAUAGCUCAAAAAUAUAAGGAACUAACUAAGAAAAGACGAGUGAAUUUGAAGUAAAAAUAUAUAUAAAUAUGAUCCGAUCACUAGUCAGUAGGGACAGCAACCAGUUUUUGGUGACAUUUUAAGUAGUUAGAUAAAACAAUCUUCUGCGGGAAAGACCCUUAUUUUCAUAUGCUACAAUUGACAAAUCUUAGUGUUAAUAAGGAAAAUUAAUAGGACAUUUGUGUGCUACUUUGUAGUGUGCUUUUAAUCCUAUCACCUCCUCUUCGUCUACGUUGUCGUCGGAUUUGGACUCAGACUGCGACUCGUACAGCUCCAAUUGCUCGGCGGUCAAAGGCUUAACUUCGUUUUCAUCCACAACUUCCUCCAUAGCCUUCAUCCUUUCAAAACUCGCACAAAUUUACCGAGAAGAUCUCCUCUUUGUAUUCUUGAGAAAACAAAUUGGGAUUGGAUUUGGGAGAGUGAAUGAGAUAGAGGGAGGGAGGGACGAGAGAGAAGUUGCCAAUUGGGAUUGGAUUACAAAUAAAAAUAUUUUAUAAAUAAAUAAAAUACUAAUAUUUUAUUGUCAAUUGCCAAGGCUAUUCAAGUGCAAUGGUGGAGAUGCAAAAGACGAUUACUAUUCAUUAAGAGCAAUUACUGUUCACUAGGUGGAUUAAAUAGUGAAUAGCUUGGGGGGAGGGCUCCCAUGCUGGAAGUGCUCUAAGGUACUGAAAGAUUGUCCUUUUCACUCAUUUCAUAGAAAUAAUUUCUGGGGUACCAAGUAUUUCUUAAGAUUUCCAGAAUAUGAUGUGGGUUCUUAUUAAUUUAAAGAAAUGAAUCGUGCGUAGUCGGAAUUUGUCAGAAAUAUAUUGUGGGUACCAACUGUAUGUUAAAAUUUCUAGCUGAAAAUGUUUGCAUUUGUGCUUGGUGUCAUUGUAGGUGGAAAUAAUGCAGAAGAUUUGAGUGUUUGGGGAAGGGAGAGAGAGAGAAAUGGAGUGGGUGAAGUCGAAGAGGGAGGGGGAAGGGUCGGUGCAGAGGAGAGAAGGGAGGGGGGUCAGAACUCGGAAGGGGUGAGGGAGAAGGGUAGGUGCAGACGCCCAAAUAUUUUUUUUAUUUUUUUUCAGUUUUAUUAAUUUAUUUUUUUAAUAUCUACGUGGCGCUAAGUCAUUAUCCACGUGGAUGUCACGUCAUCAGUUAACUGCAAAAUUAACGGAUGUAUGAAAAUGUUCCAAAAUUAUAACUUUAUGUACCACUCUGGAAUGAAAAAAACUUCAUGUACUAAGUGUUGAAAAUAAAAAAAUUUUAAGGUAAUAAACUGAGAUCAUGGAAGAAAAUGUCGAUAAUAUCGGCGAUAUAUCGCCGAUAUUAUCGGUUUUUCACCGGACCGAUAUUUUAAUAGGUAUCCAAAGGAUUUUCGUCAAAAUAUCGCGAUAAUAUCGAUAAUAUCGCGAUAUUUCCGAAAUUAUCGCGAUAUUAUAUAAAAUAUCGUUAAUAUCUUAGGAAUCGACGGUGAGCGCGCCGCAGCUAACGCCGAAAAGCAACGAAACGACGACACUGAGGA